GGUCAAAGAAAAAUUAUCAAAUUAAUAAUUAUAACUGUACAAUCAAGUUACAAUAUGUGAUAGAGUAUUAUUAUAACUGUAGCUCCAUGGGUGAUUCUUUGGCUGUCCCCUGUUUUGAUGCCUUGGGCCAUUUCUUGUAGUACAUAUAACAGGGUUUUUUUCAGGAUUUUCUCUAGGGUCCGUUUUUGCAGAGAAGAUUGAAUUUAGCUGAACAGCUGUGGUGGUUGCACCCCCCCCCCCCUACCGGGGGGCUGACACUUGUACUCAACAAAUGUAGUUGAGACGGAAUGUGUUAAAGCAGGGGCAUUGAGGGAUACUAUAAACUGGUUAACAAUGGCGAAUGCAUAGUUUUUCUUGUGUUGUGAGAUGAAUUCCAGCCAUUUUUUCUUAAUUGUCG